AAUUUAUGAUUGUAUGGGAAGGUUCUGAAAAUGUACCCUCUCUCCCACUUUGGUAUUGUUAAAUUAUGGCACAACAUUUUGAAAGUUGUGAACAACUUGGCCAAAUCUUACUCCUUUGUAAUAUGUUAUUAUUGGCUAAGAAAGACAGAUUGAGAGACUUGACACCUUCCCUUAAUCAUCUUCAGAUUCUGAAUGAAUGUUUAUUUAAAAUUUGAUCCUUAAUUUUUUUUCUGCUUUUCUUCAGUAUUGGGUUUCACUAGAUCAAAAGUGGUUCCAAAAACUUAACUCAAAAAACUCCACCACCAAUCUGACUCUUAGAGCUAAAAAGUUCAGAUUAGAUGUACAUCGGCUUACUUUGGCUUGUUAGGGACUGUCCUUAAUGACAGAUUGUUAUUAUUCUUUUCAUGUGCCCAGUAAAACCUAAGAGCCACAGCUUUGGGAAACGCAAAAGCAUCUUGGAUUCAUUGCAAAUGGGAUUUUGAGGAAUGCUACAACAUUCCAAAACUUAUCCCCAGUGAACAGCUUAGUUAAUAAAUCCCAGAAAAUAUCAGUAAGAAGCAAAGGGGAAUCUUUCUGUGCAAAACCUGUUGCAACUCCCUGGACCUGUCACAGCCAAAAAAAAAUCAGUAAGCCAGUCAGAGGAAGGAUGUAGAUUAUAAUCGGAACUUUUAGCAUUGUUUAUUUUCCAUGCAUUUUUCUGGCAAAACUAUAAAAUAAUUCACUAUGGCAAAUAUUUCAGUUCUCAUCCUUUUAAAAUAAUUGUAAACAAGGUUAUAUAGUGCAUUUUAAACAAGAUUAUAUAAUACUCUUAGUUUUUAUCUAUAGCAAUGGGCAAGGUGACAGUGUGUAUUUACAUGUGCCUACAACAUAUUGAAUAUGGAAGCCACCCCAGGAAAAUACCAAAGAGAUCCUUAAUAUGGUCAGAACAUCAGUUUCAUUAGACAGGAUAAUCAGCAACAUAUGCUAUUCCAUAAUGACUCUUAGCCAAUAGCAUGCCUUAAGCAGAUUUCCCAGUAGCACAAAAAAGGAUAGAUCUUAAUUCCAAGUUUUAUUGAUGAUUUGAGUAAGUGAAUAGAGAGUUCAUAAGCACAAUUUUCUUCAAGAUGUGGAGAAAUCUUUCAGCUCCUUUGGUGUAAAGUCAAUAAAUUAUACAGGAUAUGCUUAGCCAUCCCAUUCUAAAUGAUGCUUUGGAAUCUAAAAGGUUUGCUUUGAAGAGUGUAAAACAUCUUCACAAAGAAUUCAUUUGAAUUAGCUUCCAUCAUCAAUUCUAAGGGAAAUAUACAAGAUAUAGAUGGACAGAGUUUGACUUGUUCUCAUUAGCAUUAAAGAGGUGGUUCUCUUGUUUCAUUUAAGAGUGGGAAACAGUUGUCAACUUUAAAAUAAAAUCAUUAAAUCCUUAUUUAAAGGGAUUUACUGAGUUCUAAAACUUGGUGGGUUGAAAACUUCUAGUAAGGUAGCUCUGAAAAGAGAGGCUAAUUUAUACAAAAUAAAGAGCAGUUUUUGCUAGUUUUUAAAAAUAUUGUCUCAGGUUGCAUUUUGUAAUGGUGUCUUUUGGGCCUUGAAGAUAAAGCUGGCAGUUGAAAAAAAUUUUGGGAAGCUGAUAAUGCUAAAGAUUCAUUGUAUUAUUAAUGUUUUAUAUGACAGGGUUUAAAGAUGUAAGUUGAAAAGUAAGUGUGCAUUAUGGGUCAGAAGAAGAAUUUAAAUUUUAAUUUUAUAUGUCACAGCAUCUACCAUGGCACCAACCAGACAUGAACACAACAAUAAUACCCUCAACAUCUGAGGACAGAGUUUAAGAUAAUUAGGGAUCAGCUUCUAAUAUUUAUCAUUAUUUUACUAAUUAAUCAUCUCACUAGCUUUCUAGAAAUUGAAUAAUUACUUUAAAUUGAAUAACUUGUGUUUUGCACAUUCUUUUAAAAUAUCUAAUUCAAUUUACAAAAGCAGGUGUAAAUGUUCUGACCCUUAAGACAUAAUUGAGAACAUCAGUAUAGAUCUAGCCUUGGAGUAAAGAAUGUUCAAGCCACAUCCCAGCUAUGUAACCCUGGUGAAAUUACUUAACCUCUUACUGCCCCAGACAAGUCAGACCAUAAAUUACAGAGCAGUUGUCAGUCUGUGUUGGUAGAAGGCAUUUUCUCACCUGGAAUUCCCUCCACCAAUGAAAUCAUGCCUUCAAUCUUUACCCCACUUCACCUUCUUUAAAAAACAAACAAAAAAACGUAAUUUCUCUUUAAACCUACAGUAUUCUCCAGGCUCUUUUCUCUUGAUUGAAUGUUAUAGGAUACCUCAAACUCAGAGUGGCUCUCUAAAAUAAAUAGCAUGUAUAGACUAGCACUGUUAAUUAACACUUAGGGGAGAGUUACCUGGUCCAAAAUACUUAUUGGAAAAUAUAUGGAAAAUCUAGUGUAUGGUAACCUCUGUUUUUAUAUUGCUUCUGAACCAGGCACUGAGAGGGAUUUAUCUAGCUUCUCUUUUCUUAACAUUUAAAUAUGAAAUUUCCUGGAAAAAUCAUAUGUCUACCAAGCAAUAGGGGGAAGAAAAAGUCUAGAAAUAACCUAUAACAAACUCAUUCUGUAGAAUUGUCCCUGGUAUACCUGAACCUCACUUGAUUUUGUGGUUCAUAGUGCUUUCUUGAAUGAAAACUGGAUACAGGUCCCCAAAGGCCAGACAAGUUUCUCUUGCCUUGGUAUGGCUUCUUGUUCCCUGUUAUUAUUUAUGACUAAGGACUUGAGAAGGGUUGAUAGUGAUCAGUAGUGGGCUACAUUGUUCCUGGAAAAAUACAAAAAUAUCCUAUAAAGUAGGAUACCAGAUCUUGGAAAGAUGAACGAAAGUUUGAUGAUGAUCCUAAGAUUUUAUCUUGACUAUGUAAAUUGUGUAACUUUUCAGAAAGAUUCCAUAGGUAUUAAACAAAACUACCUUGAAAUAUCUGAGAUUCUCAUUUUCAAAGGAAUCCUAUAAUCUUCAUUCAUAAUGAACUCUGCAGGGAUGUAAUGUGGAAAUUUAAUCUUGAUUACUUAAAUUUAGUCAAAUUUCAGGCUUUGUCAAACCAGAAAAUCCGGUUACAUCCUCUGAGCAAGCUAGAAAGGGUGUUAAGUUCUUUGGAAGAUAGUUCUCUUUCCCAUUCAUUGCACUUUUUUGGUUUUCCUAAGUGAGUUGCCCCAAAUUUUCACUUUGGUCUGUCAUUUAAUUAGGAUAUCUAAAUGAAAUCAAAGCAGCUCAAUACUUUAGCAAUUGAUAGCUUUAAAAAAUAAUCCCAAGCCCCAUUUGUUAGUAUUGUCAGCAAAGAAGCCAGUGGAUCAAAGAACCAAAUCAAUCCCUGCAGAAAAGUUGUUGAGUUGGUGAUUUGAGGGGAGGCUUUCUUUUUCCUGGCCUGGGCCUGUUCUCAGAAAAAUAAAGGGCUACUGUUCCCAAUGCUGUUACUGUGGCUCCUUUUUAUUAGCACUGAAUUCACUUUAUUUUAAUAAUUAAAAAGCUGACGUUUUUCACCCAAGUGGACAGAAUCCCAGCAGUUCAGAGUCAAGGUAGAUGUUUUCCUGUGGAAAUUCCCAGAGCUAUAUUUUCUUAAGAAUUCUCAGAAGUCCUCUGAGGUCUGCUUCAAAUAGCCCCAGCUUUUGUCUGCAUGGGUCAUUUUAGACAAUGUUUCUUCAGGUACAUGAGAGAGAGAGAGACAGUUGUAACUAAGUGAUAUUGACGGACUUGGAAGUCACAAGAAAAGUUCAUCUCUGAACACAUAACAAGCGGUUCAGUAUGUAUUUGAUGCCAAGUAGUUAAGAGGUAUGGAGCUUUUUGAGUAGACUGUAUAAAUAAUUAUUACAAUCUCAGUUUUGGCAGAAGUCCAAGGUUUACUUCUAGUUGACUUUAGAAUAACCCCAGUCAGAAAGGAAGAGGCACAUCUACCUCUGAGAACAGGCUUGCUGGGAAAAGGCCAAACUAUCCAACAGGGAGGAUCCAUUUUCUGACUUCUUCUAAAUGCUGCUCCCUAAAAUUUCAGUCUCCACCCUGAAGCAGAAUUUUGUUUGAGUUGGUCUGUACCUUUUACUGAAACAACCUAGGAGAGUUCAGCAGCUGGAUAGUUGCUAUGAAUCAGAAUUGCUAAAAAUGCCAAGAUCUUCUUUGAACAUUUUUUUCAUGAAACAUCCCCUAAUAAACUGGACCACUUAAAAUUCUUUUACACAGUUUUAUGUAAUGACAUAUAAGAUCCUUACCACAAAGCAGUUUUUAUACUUUUUAAAAAGGGAAUAAUGAGCAAAGAAAACUUGCUCAUACUAGAAGCUGUGAAAUUCAGUUUUCAAGUUGAACCUCACUCAGAAGUCUGAAAAUUAAACCAUAAUUAAAAUUUAGCCUCAGUUUUAUAUGAGUUCGGUUGCACAUUUGCCAAACUGAUUUGCAAAUAGAUUGGCAGAAGUGUACAUCUGUUAUUUCAGUAUGUGUUUGAUAGAUUCUCACAGGUUCCAUGAUAAGUCAUUACUGUAGUUUUCACAUUGAGUCUGAAGAAUCUUUGAGCUUCCAGGAUAAAUGUGCAUUGCCCUGGUAAUUUUCAUUUUGCCCGGUAGAUUACAAUAGUUGCUAACAAGUCUUCUGGGUAAAUAAAAACUAUUAACUUGUUCUCCGUUGAAUCAGUUGAACAUUACAAUUGUUAAUAAUAACACUUUGAACUAUUAUGUGAAUUCUUUACACACUUGCAUAAUGUGCUUUUUCUCUUAACACCAUUCAAACCAAAUAAAGUUGACUGGCAUGCUAUUUGGUGUUGACACACAACUCUCGCCAGGAAAUUCAGUGUUAAUAUGCUCCAUCUUCUAUUCAUUGCCACUCUGUCCUUAACUCACCCUAUCAGUCGGUGCUUUGGUUUUGUAGCAUUUCCUAUGCAACCGCACACAUUGCUCUGAGCACUGUACAAUAUUCUUGCAAAAAGGGGUGAAUUAAAAGAUGACAGUUUAGCCUUAACACUUAAGUAUUCACAGGAGAAAACUUUUUUUAAAAUAAGGGUUUUACAUACUAAACAAGAAUACCAAGAGAUGCAUAACGUGAAUGCACCAUAGCUGACUUCUGAUUUUGGAAGUGUCUAUGUAGCACCAAAACAGCAUCCACAGUAGGCAGCCAACUUUGCUGUGAUAAAAGUCUCAAUUUAUGAAUAAAUACUGUGUACUAGAUUAAAAUAUAUAUUGUGAAGUGUAAAAAGUGUAUUUUAUAGCUACGGUGGAUUAGUUAAUGUGUUUUGUAUAUAUGAUUUUUAUAAAUCUAUUAAACUUGCCUUACAUUACCUCUA
rnacentral:lncRNA from 1 species